rnacentral:rRNA from 1 species
AGCGAUCGCUGGCGGCAGGCCUAACACAUGCAAGUCGAACGAAGCCUUCGGGCUUAGUGGCGGACGGGUGAGUAACACGUGGGAACGUACCUUUUGGUUCGGAAUAACGCAGAGAAAUUUGCGCUAAUACCGAAUGAGCCCUUCGGGGGAAAGAUUUAUCGCCGAAAGAUCGGCCCGCGUUGGAUUAGGUAGUUGGUGUGGUAAAGGCGCACCAAGCCUACGAUCCAUAGCUGGUCUGAGAGGAUGAUCAGCCACACUGGGACUGAGACACGGCCCAGACUCCUACGGGAGGCAGCAGUGGGGAAUCUUGCGCAAUGGGCGAAAGCCUGACGCAGCCAUGCCGCGUGAAUGAUGAAGGUCUUAGGAUUGUAAAAUUCUUUUACCAGGGACGAUAAUGACGGUACCUGGAGAAAAAGCCCCGGCUAACUUCGUGCCAGCAGCCGCCGUAAGAC